rnacentral:lncRNA from 10 species
AGUCUGCCUCCCUCGGCGGGCCGGGUCUCCAGGGAGGACCUGAUUUUUCUUCACCCAUAGUUAGGGAGGCGCAAUCGCCCUGGCUUUGGGGCUGGGGCCUCCGGGGAGGUUCCGGUAGGGGCGUUGGAGAGGCCGCUCUUUUUGCAAGGCCCGAGACGGCGGGCCCUGCGCAGGCCGCCCUAUUCCGCGCCCUCAGGGCGUCAGUAUCCGCCUGAGGCCGGAUACCCCAGCUGGGCCCGGAUGCCGUCGAUGGGCCCGGAGCAUCCUCGGCGCUGCCCUCCCAGAGCCCCGCAGAGGCUGAGGUGGCGCGGGGGGCGGGCCCGGCUCCGCGAGAAGCAGCGGCAGCGAGGGCUGGAGGACCCGGGCUACGGGGCUCUGGGGCGUCUGGCCUGGGUGGGACUGAGCCCAUUCGGGGGGACUCCGGGGUUCUGGUGUAGGUAGAUCCGGGGCAGGCUCAGGACCAAGUCCCUCUCCUUCCACCAAGGAGCGCCCAGAGGCCGGCGGGAGCUCCAGGUUCACCUCCUCCUCCUCCAGGGUUAUUUCAAGUCCCAAAAAGCAAGGAUGAACAUCUAGAACGAGAAGAAAAACAAUCUGGAGGAAAUCCCACUUCCAACUGGAUGUCUGGAUGAACUACUGAAAGCUGCUGAGUGUCCUGCAGCAGAGCCAAGAGCUGGUUAGAGCUGCAAGGACACCGCCUGCACAGGAUGCCCGGGGCUGGGCAUUACCUGCUGCAAUGACAACAUCUGGCUGGAUGGCAGAGAGCUGACAGACCGUCGCGACGUCCCAGUCCAGCUGGGCCACUGUCACCCUGGGGCUGUCUAAGUUGGCAGUGAUAUCUGCACCUAAUGAGAGGCCAUUGAGAAGGACAUUCCCUCAGAGCUGCUAGAGGACCCAGCUGUGACAGUCCCUGAAGAUGUAUGCCCGGGGGUGGCACAUCUUGCAGAUGGCCAGGCCUGUGAGGCCAGCACCACUGCCAAGCUCUAGGACAGUCCUGGUGGGAGGAAAGGGGGUCAUGUCUGCGACUGCACCAGGGUAAGCCUGCCUCGGUGCCCUGCCCUGUGCCCUGAGGUCACCUAUCAGUGAAGGCUGCUGGGUUCUCGAUGGCCCAUUCUGCAAGGUAGAGGGCGGCAUCCCAUGUGACCAGGACUGUGAUGCCGUGGGAGAUGAUGGCUGUGCUCUUGGAGAGUGUGACUGAGCCUCCCGAGGGCAGCACCAAGAGAAGGCGAGAGAGUCAGUCCAGCGAUCAGAAGGCAAGUGGCUUAGAAGACAAGCAGCCAUCCACCACAUGGCUGAAUAAACCAUGACAGGACAAAUCGCCACUCAGCAAUGAGAAGCAGCUAACUGUUGACAUGCCAACAGCUUGCACAGGCCUCAAGGGUGUCACGUGGCAUGAAAGACACUCAUCUCAGGCCACACAGGAUUCCAUUCAUUGAACAUUCCUGAGACAAUGGAAUUCUGGCGAUGGAGCACAGGAUGCUUCACAGUCUACUGCAAGGGACAGAACAUUGGUUGCUCGAGAGCCCGUCUUAAGUCGCCUAUGAGCCUCAAGCCAACAUGGCAGAGGGCAAACUCCAGGCUACCGGAUCCCUCAGCAAAGAUGCAGAUGGACACAGCGUUCUGGCCCCAUGCAUCUGAAGUUUGUCUUAAGCUA